rnacentral:rRNA from 1 species
GAUGAACGCUGACAGAAUGCUUAACACAUGCAAGUCUUUGGUGAAGCUGUGCUUGCACAGCCUAGCCAAGGCGGACGGGUGAGUAACGCGUAAGGAACUUGCCCUGCAGUCAGGGAUAACAGACGGAAACGACUGAUAAGACCUGGUAAAGUCAGGCGGACUCAUGUCCAGCCUGAUGAAAAGAGAUGCUGCAGGAGAGCCUUGCGUCCUAUUAGCUUGUUGGUGGGGUAACGGCCCACCAAGGCAAUGAUAGGUAGCCGGCCUGAGAGGGUGGACGGCCACAAGGGGACGGAGAUACGGCCCUUACUCCUACGGGAGGCAGCAGUGGGGAAUAUUGGACAAUGGGGGCAACCCUGAUCCAGCAAUUCUGUGUGCACGAUGAAGGUCUUCGGAGUGUAAAGUGCUUUCAGAAGGGAAGAAAAAAAUGACGGUACCUGCAGAAGAAGCGACGGCUAAAUACGUG